CUACGGGUUGCACCAGUGGGGAAUAUUGCACAAUGGAGGAAACUCUGAUGCAGCAACGCCGCGUGGAGGAUGACACUUUUCGGAGCGUAAACUCCUUUUAUAUAGGAAGAAGAUGACGGUACUAUAUGAAUAAGUGCCGGCUAACUCCGUGCCAGCAGCCGCGGUAAUACGGAGGGCGCAAGCGUUACUUGGAAUCACUGGGCGUAAAGAGCGUGUAGGCGGAUUAAAAAGUCAGAAGUGAAAUCCUAUAGCUUAACUAUAGAACUGCUUCUGAAACUCUUAAUCUAGAAUAUGGGAGAGGUAGAUGGAAUUUCUGGUGUAGGGGUAAAAUCCGUAGAGAUCAGAAGGAAUACCGAUUGCGAAGGCGAUCUACUAGAACAUUAUUGACGCUGAGACGCGAAAGCGUGGGGAGCAAACAGGAUUAGAUACCCGCGUAGUC
rnacentral:rRNA from 1 species